UACAUGGUCCGGGAUGGUAUACUAUACAAGCGUAUGGUUCAAAAAGAUACUUUGAAUUAAGAAGUACAAGAAAGUUAACUUCAUUAGACAAAAAGAAAAAACAGGCAAGAAUAGUACAUAGUUAUAAAUACUGUGGAGAGUGAGGUGUAAUAUGGGAGCAGCUGAUUUUUGGGGUUUCAUAUAUGUAGUUUCAAGAUUAGCUAUUGUUGCGGCAGUGGUUUACUUCUUAUACUUAUUGAGAAAAAUUGCAAAUAA
rnacentral:sRNA from 1 species